UACGUAGGGGGCUAGCGUUGUCCGGAAUCAUUGGGCGUAAAGCGCGCGUAGGCGGCCAGAUAAGUCCGGUGUGAAAGUCACAGGCUCAACCUGUGAAUGCCGCUGGAAACUGUCUGGCUUGAGUCCGGAAGGGGCGAGUGGAAUUCCUGGUGUAGCGGUGAAAUGCGCAGAUAUCAGGAGGAACACCAAUAGCGAAGGCAGCUCGCUGGGACGAUACUGACGCUAAGGCGCGAAAGCGUGGGGAGCGAACAGG
rnacentral:rRNA from 1 species